rnacentral:rRNA from 1 species
AGUGAACGCUGGCGGUAGGCCUAACACAUGCGAGUCGAACGGCAGCACAGUAAGAGCUUGCUCUUACGGGUGGCGAGUGGCGGACGGGUGAGGAAUACAUCGGAAUCUACUUUUUCGUGGGGGAUAACGUAGGGAAACUUACGCUAAUACCGCAUACGACCUACGGGUGAAAGCAGGGGAUCUUCGGACCUUGCGCGAUUGAAUGAGCCGAUGUCGGAUUAGCUAGUUGGCGGGGUAAAGGCCCACCAAGGCGACGAUCCGUAGCUGGUCUGAGAGGAUGAACAGCCACACUGGAACUGAGACACGGUCCAGACUCCUACAGGAGGCAGCAGUGGGUAAUAUUGGACGAUGGGCGCGAGCCUGAUCCAGCCCUACCGCGUGGGUGAAGAAGGACUUCGGGUUGUAAAGCCCUUUUGUUGGGAAAGAAAAGCAGCAGGUUAAUACCCCGCUGUUCUGACGGUACCCAAAGAAUAAGCACCGGCUAACUUCGUG